rnacentral:rRNA from 1 species
GUAGGUGGCAAGCGUUGUCCGGAAUUAUUGGGGCGUAAAGCGCGCGCAGGCGGUUCUUUAAGUCUGAUGUGAAAGCCCACGGGCUCAACCGUGGAGGGUCAUUGGAAACUGGAGAACUCGAGUACAGAAGAGGAAAGCGGAAUUCCACGUGUAGCGGUGAAAUGCGUAGAGAUGUGGAGGAACACCAGUGGCGAAGGCGGCUUUCUGGUCUGUAACUGACGCUGAGGCGCGAAAGCGUGGGGAGCAAACAGGAUUAGAUACCCUGGUAGUCCACGCCGUAAACGAUGAGUGCUAAGUGUUAGGGGGUUUCCGCCCCUUAGUGCUGCAGCUAACGCAUUAAGCACUCCGCCUGGGGAGUACGGCCGCAAAGGCUG